ensembl:miRNA
GAGGUGGGAGGACUGCUUGAGCCCAGGAGUUCAAGGCUGCAGUGAGCUAUGAUUGUACUACUGAACUCCAGCCUGAGUGACAGAGCAAGACCCUGUCUC